UACGUAGGGUGCGAGCGUUGUCCGGAAUUAUUGGGCGUAAAGGGCUCGUAGGCGGUCUGUCGCGUCGGGAGUGAAAACUCAGGGCUUAACCCUGAGCCUGCAUCCGAUACGGGCAGACUAGAGGUAUGCAGGGGAGAACGGAAUUCCUGGUGUAGCGGUGGAAUGCGCAGAUAUCAGGAGGAACACCGGUGGCGAAGGCGGUUCUCUGGGCAUUACCUGACGCUGAGGAGCGACAGCGUGGGGAGCAAACAGG
rnacentral:rRNA from 1 species